AGCGACGCCUGGCUGUGCUGGGAUUUGUACCCAGUGCGGGGGGGGCGGGGACCGCAGCACAAAGGGGCUCCCGGCAGGAGUGUGGAGCGUGUGUGAGGUUUCCUCGUGCAACAACUCUGACUUAGCGGAGGUUUCAUGUGCAGAAACUACCAUAUUCCUUAUAAAGACAGUUGCCAUGUUGUGGCUGAAUCCGCACAGACGGAGGCUGCCUGGCCGACAGCAUUCGGAACCUGAACCCGCCUGCGCCCUGGGGAAGAUGCCGUCCCUCUGAGUGUCCGCAAGCUGCUGUUGCUGUAAAUUUGACUGCCUCAAGUACUUCAUGAAUUAAGCAGCAUUUAAAAAGACAAGAUGGAACCUGAAGAGUACUGGAAGAAAUAGGAGGGGCUCCAUUCUGGUCUCUGAUCCAGCAGAAUUAGUACGCGGGCCUCUCCCUGUUGUGGCCUCUCCCGUUGCGGAGCACAGGCUCCGGAUGCGCAGGCUCAGCGGCCAUGGCUCACGCGGCAUGUGGGAUCUUCCCGGACCAGGGCACGAACCCGUGUCCCCUGCAUCGGCAGGCGGACUCUCAACCACUGCGCCACCAGGAAAGCCCUGGCCUCUUAUUUUGAGGGUAUUGGUCAAAGCUCCUUUGAGGAACUGAUGAAAGCCAUGAACCCUCUCAACUAAAUACAACAACAGAAACACAGAAUUUUAAUGUCUUCAAAUUGCUUUAAAAUACAGUUUUAAGAAAGUGCUGUGCGAUGUGAUGCAAUGAAAAACGCAAUAUGAAUUUGGAGAAGGAAAGGAUCACCAGAGGUCAGAAGGGUCUAAGGGAGAGUUCAUGAAAGAGAUUCUGCCAUCCCAAGUCGUGGUUUGAGUAGUGACCGUGGUUUCCAUCUCUGUGCCGAGUGCCGUCCAGAGCUGGGAUGUGAGCAGUUAAGAUGCUCUCAGUGACGGGGAUACAGAUGCCUGGAGAUGGUCAGCCCCCUGGCAAUAGAAACUUUACAAGUUUUUGAUAUGGGCUUCCCUGGUGGCGCAGUGGUUAAGAAUCCGCCUGCCAGUGCAGGGGACACGGGUUCGAGCCCUGGUCCAGGGAGAUCACACAUGCUGUGGAACAACUAAGCCCGUGCGCCACAACUACUGAGCCUGCGCUCUAGAGCCCGCGACUCACAACUACUGAGCCCACAUGCCACAACUACUGAGCCUGCACUCUACAGCCCACGACUCACAACUACUGAGCCCAUGCACCAGAACUACUGAAGCCUGUGCGCCUAGAGCCCAUACUCCACAACAAGAGAAGCCACCGCAAUGAGAAGCCUGCGCACCGCAAGGAGGAGUAGCCCCACUCGCCGCAACUAGAGAAAGCCUACGGGCAGCAACGAAGACCCAAGGCAGCCAAAAAAAAAGAAAAAGUUUUUGAUACACUUUGUUUGCUUUAGGUGUGAGAAAUAUUCUACUGCCUUCUGAAGUAAGGGGAAAUGAAGCAACCUGGAAUUUACUGGUGGUAGCAAAGGAAAGGAGCUGACAAGAGGAAGACAGGGAGUCCUCCUCGAGAGCACUGAAGUAUCCCCAGGAGUGUAAACUGGUCAGAAAUCUCCUUCACUCCAUAAUUCCAACCUUCCUUUCAAAUCUACUAUGUGGGACCACCCCCCCCCCCCCCCCCGCAGGGGCAUAAGACCUGGAGAACUUCCUAUUUCUACUACGGAGCUGGAUGUGAAAUAAAGGAGGGAGACGCAUACCAUACAGUUUCAGGGAUACUGAGUUGGAUAGGACUUUAUGAAAAUCCCACCACUAUCAUUAUUUUCCUUAGAACAUGUGUUUUUGAGUUUGGGUCAAACUUUAGUGUGCUUGAGCCAGGUGGCUUGGGUUUGAAUCCCAGUUUUACCACUUUUGAGCUGCAUGACCUUCAAAGUUUAUGUAACCUCAGUUUUCACAUUUAUGAAAUAGGGAUAAUGUUGCUAUCUACUUCACAGAAAACAUUUUCUGGCACUAUAUGAGACUGUUAAAUUAAGACUAUAAAUACAUAUUUUGGAAGCUUUCUGAAUAUGUGUAUAACUGCAAGCAUGCAAUUGUAGUCCACUCAGAAAAGAGGGACGGUUAUCUAUGCUAGGACUGUGGCAAAACAGGCAAUGCUGAUCAUCGGAAAAGUCUUUAAACCAUACAGUGCAGUUCCAGGAUUGCAGGCCCACUCUGAAUACCCAUGUGGCUACCUCGUGCCUAAAGAGGGAGAAGCUGGUGGCCAAGAUUUACAUUUGACAAUGUCUCUUAGGAAAUCUUGCUAUAAAAUGCAAUUGACCACUUCUUUGAGAAGAAUCAGAAAGGUAAAUGUUCCAAAAUGUUAACACAACUAUUUGGAAACGGAAAAAAGGAAUCAAGUAAGUGUUGUUGUUAAGUUUCAAACUUUUAAAAUACCCAAUUAGGUUUUGUUUUGCUUUGCUUUGCUUUACAGAAGUAAACAUUUGUUUGGGUGGCCAUCUUAGAAUCUGUUCUAGCACUGACUUUUGUCACAGCGUGCAAACAUUUUCUUGCUUUGUAUUUUCUCUGGGUAAACAUACAGAGAAUGUGAUUUUCCAUAUGUACUCUGUCGUUUGCAUUGCUUUGGGGGCUUUGAUUAGUCUGAGAUAUACAAGAUCCCUAAGUCAGGAUAAACCCAGCCACUAACUUUCUAAGUGAUAUUGAGCUAUUCCCUCUAGACAUGCAAUUUCUUUGUAUUACAGAUUUACCUCUCCUUAAAAAAAAAAAAAAUUAAAAAAAAAAUACCAUGAUAUGUUCCUCCUUAUGUUUUUUAUAUUAUUAAAGCAAUAGUGGUUGCAAAUUCAAUUUAACAUAUUUCAGAAAUAAUUCUUAAACAACCUAUACCUAUACUCUGCUUAGUGCUGGAAGAAGAAAGAACCAGAAGAUGAAUGGCGCACUCAUGAGACAGGGCAGAGGAAACUCCUGCCCUCCAGAUCAUCAAAACCAAAGACAUGUACACAACUACCUAUAAUGUAGGCCAGACCACAUAAAUCUUAAGCAGUGCUUUAAAGUCUUCUGAAAAAUAAUGCCCUAACUAAACGAAAUCAUCACCCUGAACUCAGAGUACGAAUGAUGCUGUUAUUACUUAUUUCUACUGUCUUCCAUCUAUUUUAUGGUGUUCUUUGAUCCAUUCUUUGCAUUCUUCUUGUCUGAAAGUAAUAUUCUUGAUAUGUUUAAUAAGGAGACCCCCUCCUUUCUUCCUAGAUGCUUUGGCUGCUGACCAACAAAAGCCAUCGAAAGACUUAAUCCUCUGAGCCUGGCACCACAUCAGUCUGGAAAUAGUUUACAUGCAGAGUCCUUUGGAGUAAAUACUCAUUAGAGGUUCCGUUGGCUUAUUUGGUCACCCACAUUUUGCAGUGGGUGGCCCAGUUGGUAUCCUCAUUAUUUUAUUUUCCACCCCUGAAAAUAAUCCAGAUGUAGCAACCUGACACUACUCCCUUUGGUAUUCUAAGUCCAUUGUAAUGGAGCGUCCAUUCCUUUGUGAUGCUAGUUAAUAGGUUCAGAGAAGUAAGGGUCUCAGACUGGUCAUGCCCUAAUAAAUUUUUUGCUAAUACACCUUUUCUCAGCGCAACUCCUGAAAUGCAAUCUGAGUACUUCAAGAGUAAUUCGCUAGUAAUCGCGAACACGUGAGGAUUUAGAGAACUGUCAUCUCCCUUCCUCCCUCCCUCCUUCCCUUCCUCCCUCUCUCUCACUCUUUCUCUGCCCACCCCCUACCCCACCUCUCCACCCCAUCUUUACAUAAAUGAACAAACCAGUUCCCAAGGUUUGAACUUUAUCAAGGUUAUUCACAAAUUACAAAGUAGAUCUCUUGCUUUUUCGCUUACUAGGUACAUCUUUACUGCUUAGAGCUUCUUGGUUAGUACUUGGAUCAGGGAAAUGGAGUCUCUAUACUGUCAUCGUUCUGGGUUUAGCAGUGAAAGUUCUCAAGAAAGAACAAUCAACUAAUGUUUCUUGACUACGUAUUAAGUGCAGAGCAAAGUAACAUUAAAAUACAAGGUGGUUGUUAAACAUGCCUUCCUCUUGCCAAGCUUGUAUUCUUGUAAUAAGGCCAAUAUAAGUAAGUUGGUACUUUCUUCCUCAUGAUUGUUAUGAUAAGCAUAUGCAAAAUGCUUAGAAUAAUAUCUACCAGAUGGGGUAUUUAUUACUGUAUGGAUUAAAAUAAUAACAUAUAUAAAGUUCUUAGAAUAGUUGCCGGCUUUUUCUUAUAGGUACCAAUAUCUCAGAAGCUACUGCAUUCUUUUUAUAUGAAUCAGCAUCAAUUUUCAACAGGAAAGCAUUCAAAGUUUUUACUUUGAAAAUUUAUAAAACUCUUAAGAUUUUUUUGUUAGUUUCUCCUUGGACGAUAGGAAAUGGAAAGGAGGUGUGAUGUUGAAGGAUGAGGGAGUGUGAGCAUCUAAUAGAUGUCGGGCAUUAUACUGAAGGUUUGCAUCCAUUAUCUCAUUUAAUACUCAAAAUGACAAUACAAGGUGCAUAUUGUUCUGUCUGUUGUACAAAAAGACUAAAACUUGGGCCAAAAAAAGCUAAAUAAAGAGCCAGGAUUUGAAGGCAAGUUCAUCUGGCUCAAAAACUCACAUUUUUCCCAUUCCUUGAGUUCUGAUUAGACUACUUAAUAUCAUUUUUUCAAAGACAGGAAGAGUGUAGGAAGCAUCCUGUCAUCUUGUGUAAAGUCGUACAGUAUCCUGGAUGUUAACUGCUGCUAAGAUUUAAUAACUCUGGAAAAAAACAACCAGCAACGUAUCCUCCUGUGUACCAUAAAUAGGCCACUCCAUGGUAAAUUACACACUUGUGACUUAUCCUAGAAGGAGCCCCAUAUCACUGUUGGACACUGCUGCUGACCAAAACCGUGAGGACUUGCACGUGUUCAGGAUCUGCUCUGCUAAGUGUGUAACACACUCAGCAGAUGCCACGUUGUUCAAAGACUUACUACCGACUUAAACUUGCUGCACUCGUGCACAGAUGCAGUUUCUGUCUUUUCUCAUACAUCACAGUAUCCAGGUGUUUGUUUCUUUGUUAAACCUAGACAUUUAACCACAUAAGACUUUUAUAAAUGGUCAAAUAGAUUCAUAAGGGGACAAUACAUGAAACUAGUCACUUUACUACCACAAGUCUUAAAUUACUCAUCCACAAACCUACACAUAAAAUUUCAUUUUGGUAGUUGUAUUACAGUUUCUGCUACACCAAUCUAUAUUACAGAAAGCUUCUCCCAUAUAGAAUGCAGUAAGAGUUCUGGAAUAAAAUUUUAAUUUUAACAACAUAAUUGCUAUAUAGCUAUACAUGUUUAUUUUGUUUCACUAUCAAUGUGAUUUGAAACUCAGCACAUUCUGAGGCACCAGCAGUAUUAAUUUCAAUUUAGACCAUAUGGUUGUAUAUCUGUAAUAUCUAUACAUCUACAUAUUUGCAUAUAUAGGUAUAUACUUACAGAUAUAUUUAUGUUUAUAUGUAUACACACAUAUAUAAUCAUGUUAUCAAAAAUUAAGUUUAAAUAUUUAGUUUAAACUUCUUAACUUUUCAGCAUGUUAUAUACUGACUAUAUUAUAUCUGCUUAAACAUAAAGUGAAGCCAGUAGAACACAUGCGAUUUGACUUGUAUUCAGCAUUACACUAGAUUUAUCAUCCCAGAAGUAUAACGAGUAAUAAUUCUGUGAGUGGUGUUUUCUUUGACACAAGUAAUAUGACUUUUCUAUUCUGAAUGGUUCACUAUGAUUAAAUAGAAUAACUACAUAAUAAGUUCUUUCUAAACAAGCUCAUAGAACAUUCAUUUAUUCAUCAACAAACAUAAAAACAGACUCUAUGUGUACAGGCAAAUAAAUGUACUGUGGUAUUGUUGCUAUUUUCAAUAACGCUACUGAUAGUAAACAGGUGCUGUGUGCCAGGUACCACAGUAGGCACUCGGAGAAUGCAAAGAUGUAUGAAGGGCAGUCGAAGCCAUCAUGAAGUUUAUUAUCUAAUAAUGUUAAAUUUGCACUAUACCAAUUUUUUAAAAAAUUCACAUACCUGGUCUCCUUUUAUCCUUAACAAAAACAACAUGACAUAAACAUUAUUAAGUGACACGAGCAAGGAUUCAAUACAGGUCAGGACUCCAACUCUUGAACAUGCUGCCCGAUUGAAAAAAGCAACAGGUGAAAAUGAUCUGCUCAUAAUUUUGCUGAUGCAAAAUAUAUUGGAAUGUAUAUUGUAAUAAUGGAUGGAAUCAGAGUAAAGCAAAAUUGUGCCCUGUGGAUUCAUAAAGGUAUGGUCUGAAUUCAUUUUUUUAAGUAAAUUGAAAUAACAGUCAAAUUAUUGUGAUUUCAUGUUGACACAUUAGUUAAGUAUUUCUAGCCUUUCAUUGGAAAAAUAAAAUUUUUUAAAUAAAACAUUACACUUUAUUCAUUAUUCAGUCUAAAAUCUUAAAAGCUAUUACACAAAUGGAAACAGUCUUCCAUCCUCUUUAAAGCCUGACUCUUUGUUUGAAUUCUUUUAGAAGCUGUUGUGAGUACAGGGUCAGGGUACAAACAGACAUCUCUCCACUAGCAUUCAAAAUGCAUUGCCAUGCAUUUUGUUCCCUUUGUAUUUGAAUCACCUACUUUUUAAACUAUGUCAAACGGGUCUUUGUAUCAUUUCUGGAACAGAGGAGUCGUGUUUUCUCCCCACGCUGAGCCUUUCUUAGGGCCAUCAUUCCAUUACCCUUUGCCUCCUCCAUGGUCUUUGACUACUUGAAAUCCUGUCUUCCUUUAAGGUUGGCUGCAAAGCCCAGCUUUACAAUGUUGCCUACCCAUGCUUUUCCAUGAUUAUUCCCAAGGGAAGGGACUGUGCCUCUUCACUGAACUCUUGUCAUUUUUUACUUUCAUGUAUCAUUCAUUCUCUUUAUAUGACACUUGUUUAUGUAUAUUCUUAUCUCCUCAGCUAAAUUAGAA